rnacentral:lncRNA from 1 species
CACGGUGACAUCUCGGCUGAAACACUUCACAUCCUGGUGAAUCCUAUGGUCCUUUACUACACCAGCUCACCUCCAGGAAUUCUCUGGGGAAGUCCUCAGUUCCAGUAGCUUCGCACACUUAAACUUCUGCCAAGGCUCGUUUCUUAUUGCACCCUCUGGCGGGCGUUUACUAGAUUCCUCGUAGAGCCAGUCCAGGCUUUCUGAGGGGUUAAAAAAGGCCCAGGCCACUCCCCUUGUUCAAGGUUCUGCAUGAAAAGGAGGAGGAAAUUGUGCCACAUUUUAAAUGUUUAGACGACUGGGAACUUGUAGGUGUUCAACAAAUACUUGUUGAAUAAAUACAAUAUUUUAGCACCGUUGUUGAUAAAAAAAAAAAAGACAAUGCAAUGUAAUUGUGCUAUUUGCAAAUGUGCUAUUUGCAGUUUAUAUAAAACUGUGAAUUCAGAGUGCACUGCAGGCUUUGCUUAGUGGCAUGCAUAUUUCAGGUUCUGUCACCCUGCGUGUACCUUCAUCUGGAGACAACUGCCAAUGGCCCUGCCCACCCUACUGGGGACGUAGAUUCUCCUUGGGUUGGGGCUGGGGCUGAGGCUGGGGCUUCAACGCCUGGUACACGGCAGGGGAUGUCACUAAGCGGCGAGUGGCUGCAGCUCUCCCCUUUCUCUACCCCUCUCCCAAGGAUCCGGGGUGGUGGCUUCCAUCGUUUGUCGCCGCCCCACCGGCAGGCGGCGCCCCUCCGGCCAGCCUCCCGGCGGGGUCGCGACGGGGCGUGCGUGUUUAAAGUCGGCCCUCCGCGGACGCCCGCGCUUCCUGGCGCCAGGCGGCUAGCUUGCCGCAGCUGGGGCUUCGGGCCGGACUCGCUGCCCCCGCCCUCCUCCUUUGAGCGCUCGGGGCGGAGCCGGGCGGGCGCGCGGGGCUCCCGCCCCUCUCUCGGCGGUCACCUGGGGCCGGGAGCAGCAGGUGUCUGGUCUGGCACCCAGCGCCGGGAACGCGGAGCGCACGCCGGAAACCGCUGCACUUCGGGUGGCCCUGGGAGGCGGCGGCCGGGGCCAACCCCCGAAUUCCGGAGGCGACCGCCAGGACCUAGCCCGCGGAGGAAGGUCCUGCGAGGAAACCGGCUCGCUCCGCCCCACCUUUUGCAAAAGACUCGGAGCUUGUUCACACUGGUAUGCCAGGUACCAAGAGUAAGAUCACCGAAGGCAGUAAAAUUGAAAUUGGAAGACUGUCAGCCAAGAAAGACCUACUAGAGGAAGCAGAGGAUGGAAAAUAAAGUGAAGCAGUGUUUUGUUGUGUGUAUUUCAGCAGGCCUUCUGCAGUUCAACUAAAAACAUGACUGCUCUUUCUUCCGGGAACUGCUCUUUUCAGUACCAGUUACGUCAAGCAAAUCGGUCCCUAGAUG